AUGGUUCCAAUAAUAAUUCAAAACUUCUAUUGUAUAUUUCAGGCAUUGAAAGACGUUCAAGUACAUAUACUAAUGCAAGAACCGGCUGAAGUUUACUUUUUGGUACUCCAGAGACCUAGCUUCUUCUUGCCUUCUUCCAGUGUGGUCUAUUUAAUCUCCUGUCGUGUGGGAAAUUAUGUUCAAAAUCUCCGUGAUCCUCUGUCCAUAGACUUGUCUAUUGAGAAACAGCAACGCUGGCAACCAUUUACUACCAACAAGAGGCAGUUCCAAGAGAAGAAUAUAAAAUAUGCUCUGCUCAACCCCACGAAACUCAGAGUGUCUCACAAUGGCCAAUUUAUUAUUUUUACCCUGUCCAGUGACAUGGAAGGAUGCAUCAGGGAGCUGCUAGCCUCUGCGAUGAAUAACUUAAGUCAGGCUGCAACAUGUGAAAUAAUUCAGCUGACCAGGAUUUAUAACACUAGCUGGAUUUUUUGCUUUCUUUGGGGUUCAUGA
rnacentral:lncRNA from 13 species